rnacentral:snoRNA from 1 species
AAUGACAGAUGGCAACAGGGUCUCUUGCUUUUAGAGGUCUGUAGCCAUGUCCCCGAACAUGAAUCUGCAGAUUUUACAGCA